GAAUGCUGACAUAAGUAACGAUAAAGCGGGUGAAAAGCCCGCUCGCCGGAAGACCAAGGGUUCCUGUCCAACGUUAAUCGGGGCAGGGUGAGUCGACCCCUAAGGCGAGGCCGAAAGGCGUAGUCGAUGGGAAACAGGUUAAUAUUCCUGUACUUGGUGUUACUGCGAAGGGGGGACGGAGAAGGCUAUGUUGGCCGGGCGACGGUUGUCCCGGUUUAAGCGUGUAGGCUGGUUUUCCAGGCAAAUCCGGAAAAUCAAGGCUGAGGCGUGAUGACGAGGCACUACGGUGCUGAAGCGACAAAUGCCCUGCUUCCAGGAAAAGCCUCUAAGCAUCAGGUAACAUCAAAUCGUACCCCAAACCGACACAGGUGGUCAGGUAGAGAAUACCAAGGCGCUUGAGAGAACUCGGGUGAAGGAACUAGGCAAAAUGGUGCCGUAACUUCGGGAGAAGGCACGCUGAUAUGUAGGUGAAGCGACUUG
rnacentral:rRNA from 1 species